AUUGAACGCUGGCGGCAGGCUUAACACAUGCAAGUCGAGCGAGCGGCGGACGGGUUAGUGAUGUCUGGGAAACUGCCUGAUGGAGGGGGAUAACUACUGGAAACUGUAGCUAAUACUGCAUACCAUCAGAUGUGCCCAGAUGGGUUUAGCUAGCAGGUGGUGUAAUGGCUCACCUAGGCGACGAUCCCUAGCUGGUCUGAGAGGAUGACCGGCCACACUGGAACUGAGACACGGCACAGAAUCCUACGGGAGGCAGCAGUGGGGAAGAUUGCACAAUGGGCGCAAGCCUGAUGCAGCCAUGCCGCGUAUGUGAAGAAGGCCUUCGGGUUGUAAAGCACUUUCAGCGAAGAGGCGUUACUCGAAGAAGAAGCACCGGCUAACUCCGUGCCAGCAGCCGCGGUAAUUC
rnacentral:rRNA from 1 species